CCUGGGUACCCCGUUCCAAGUGCCCGAGUUUUGGCAGCAUAAAAAUACUACUCGCAGUACAAGUAGUGUAGUGCAUCCAGUUAGAAUCAGAACUACAAGCCCAACAAGAUUUCCAAUUGAAGAAGGUUCUGCUCGCCCUUCCGAUACGCUUCCGAAGAAAAUCGUGUGGAGCUUCCCCUGAUUCUCUCCUUUGCAGUUUUGGUAAAUAUGAAUGAAGAAUGAUGAACAAAUGCUUGAUUCAUAGUUUUAAAAAUUGUAUUGAUUAUCAAAUCGAUUAGAAUAUUAAUUUCAUUCCUUGUUAAGUAAACUAGUAAUUUUGCCUACUUAUAUGAAUUACUUGUUGAAAA